ACGGAGGGUGCAAGCGUUAUCCGGAUUCACUGGGUUUAAAGGGUGCGUAGGCGGACAGGUAAGUCAGUGGUGAAAUCUCUGGGCUUAACUCAGAAACUGCCGUUGAUACUAUUUGUCUUGAAUAUCAUGGAGGUAAGCGGAAUAUGUCAUGUAGCGGCGAAAUGCUUAGAUAUCGUCAAGAACACCGAUAGUGUAGACAGCUUACUAAGCUUUAACUGACGCUGAGGCACGAAAGUGUGGGGAUCAAACAGGA
rnacentral:rRNA from 1 species